rnacentral:rRNA from 1 species
GAUGAACGCUGGCGGCGUGCCUAAUACAUGCAAGUCGAGCGAACGGACGAGAAGCUUGCUUCUCUGAUGUUAGCGGCGGACGGGUGAGUAACACGUGGAUAACCUACCUAUAAGACUGGGAUAACUUCGGGAAACCGGAGCUAAUACCGGAUAAUAUUUUGAACCGCAUGGUUCAAAAGUGAAAGACGGUCUUGCUGUCACUUAUAGAUGGAUCCGCGCUGCAUUAGCUAGUUGGUAAGGUAACGGCUUACCAAGGCAACGAUGCAUAGCCGACCUGAGAGGGUGAUCGGCCACACUGGAACUGAGACACGGUCCAGACUCCUACGGGAGGCAGCAGUAGGGAAUCUUCCGCAAUGGGCGAAAGCCUGACGGAGCAACGCCGCGUGAGUGAUGAAGGUCUUCGGAUCGUAAAACUCUGUUAUUAGGGAAGAACAUAUUUGUAAGUAACUGUGCACAUCUUGACGGUACCUAAUCAGAAAGCCACGGCUAACUACGUG